UGCCAAAAAACCCAUGUCCCAUGAGCAUUCUCAGAGUGUUUCUGAUAAAUUGUCUAUGUGGAAGAAGCCAGGGAACCUGCUUCCAAGAGAGUCAUGGUUAUAUGUAAUGAAAAUGCCUUGGAGAGAAUUUGGGCCAUUCAUAGCCAUUCGGUAAAUGGUUCUAGUCUGCUAACCACAUGUUGAAUAGAAGCCUCUUUGGCUUCAGUUGCAGAAUCAGAAUGCAAGGUGCCUUCAAAAGAUUUUAGUUAUCCUUGACCUCCUUUCUUGGUUUAACUUCUCCUUGGCUAACUUCUUUCAAUUUGAAGGCAUCCUAUGAGAGACAGUGUUGUAAGGAAAGAGGCUUCAGAUCUGCCCAUCAGAGGUAGACAUACUGUCACCUGCUGGAUCUUUGUUCUUUUGUCUUGGCACUUGUUCUUCUGUUUUAGGUAAAAGAGAAUGGAGACUAUAACCUUGUGAAUUUUAAAAGAACGGGACAGGAAGUCAUCCAGGUAUCUGGCAGUCUAGGAGUAAAAUCCAUACCAGGUUUUGCUGGCAACACAAAAUCAAUGUUGAGGAUUGAAGGGAGACCUUUGGAACCGAGCCCAGUUGGUUGUUGAGAUAAAGAUGCAGCGAAGCCUCAUUUAGACAUGAACUUGGCAAAAGAAUAUCCUGAGUCGGAGAGGCUUUUAGGAGGCCAUAUGAGUUCAAAACAUCCUGAGGACUUGGGUACCAGCUGGCCAUCAUCAGCUCAGAGUGGAUGGCUGCUUACAAGAGGAUUGGCCCAAGCCUGGCUGUUUUACCAACAGACAUGUACCAAAAGUUGUUUGGAUGAUACAGAGCCAAGUGGCUGCAGCGACCCUGCAGCAGGCCUCAGAGGACUG